rnacentral:rRNA from 1 species
AGAUUGAACGCUUGGCGGUCAUGCCUAACACAUGCAAGUCGAGCGGCAGCGCGGGGGCGACCCUGGCGGCGAGCGGCGGACGGGUGAGUAAGGCAUCGGAAUCUGCCCUGAUGUGGGGGAUAACGUAGGGAAACUUACGCUAAUACCGCAUAAGCUCUGAGGAGGAAAGCGGGGGACCGAAAGGCCUCGCGCAGCAGGAUGAGCCGAUGUCCGAUUAGCUGGUUGGUGGGGUAACGGCCCACCAAGGCACGAUCGGUAGCUGGUCUGAGAGGAUGAUCAGCCACACUGGGACU